UUACUUACCUGAUUUUACAAUGGUUUUGUAUAAACCAUAUCUCAUUGAUGUGCUCAUUAGUCAUUUCUGCUAAUAUUGUGGCAGAAGCACAAAUGGAUACAAGUUCACCUCAUAGUGCCCUUGAAAAACUAAGAUUGCAACUGCUGGUAGGCCUUUGAAUCCGACAUUUGGAAAGUAAACCUAUAAGAGUAUUUAUAUUUCUUAGUGUGUAUACAAAGAUUUCUGUUCAGAUGUGCAUAGCUAUACCAUUACAGUGAGAUUUAUUGUGUAAAUUUGAUCAUGUAUCUUCUCAUAGUGAUGAAAUGAUGGUUGAUAAUUCAUAUAGGUGGCCUCAAGGCCUUAUUCGUGUUCAGUUUUUCUUAUGUAUAUGCUAACAUUAUAGGUGGCCUCAAGGCAUUAUAUGCAUACAAAUCUUCAGGGUGUUUUUAUUUAUAAUCUACAUUUCGUCAUCAGUUAAGAUAUAAUGUAUAGGUAAUUUUUUCUAUGAAUUUGUAGUCCUAUGAUGUCUGCAUAUUCCUUUCACAAUGAUGAGCUCUCUGACCAUGCCAGCAUGGCAAAAGUGACAUAGUUUGAGGAAACAUUGCGGUAAAGUCCCUUUGGGUCAUGUCGUUUGUUUUAUCUGAUUCUUUUGUUGAUUGUAUGGAGGGCAAAAGUGUAUGAAAUUAAUAGAUAGAAAUAGUUCUCACGUAAUGGAAUCAAGGUACUGAAUAAGAGUUAUUUGUUGUCUUUCAUAGUGAUAUUGAGUUUUAAUUGUUCUCUAGAAAUUUUCUUUCUUGCCUCCUUAUUGUGUAUUUGCAAUUUUAGACUUUAAGUCUUCAUUUCUUGCCUCCUUUCCUCAAAUUGCGAUGUUUCUAAGUUUGCACUAUACUUACCGAUGGUUCAGUGUGGGGGAAAAGAAUUAUGUGGGAAAAUACAAAUUUCCCUUGCUGAUGAUGCUGUGAAGUAUAGUUUGAUGAAAGUAAAUUACUUGUGGUCUUACAGUGAGUGAAGUGAAGUUGGAUGAGGGGAGUGGGUGUGUCAUAUGCGCCUCUGCCCUGGGGGCUGGGUCGCUGGCUCAUUGCCUGCUCUAGGCUGUUGGUGCAGUAUUGCUGAACCUCCAUGUUGCUUCCCUAAACUAUACCACGGUUGAUGGGACCCUGAUACAAAAAAGAGUCAGGGUGCCGAAGGGAAUGGGCGUUUGCAGUGUUGCCGGGUGGCUAAGCUUACACCUAGAAAUUUUUAGUUUUUCCCUGAAGCUGGGUGGGCCACGGCUCAAUUUGGCCCUCAGUAGCUUCGCCGGUGCUCCCAAACAACGUCGGUGAUGUCUCAAAACAGGAGCUUGACUAUCGCAUCCAUGUUGCAUCUGUACAGGUUUUCAAGAAUGUAUCCGUUUGCAUAUUACUUGCAAUAAAUUGACACUGGGACAAGAUUUCGUAAUUCGUUUGGUUGCUUCUGUACGGCAAUCCUUAUUUUCAAGGUCGUGGGGCUCAGUGGUCAACGUGGCCGUCGCCGUCAUCGGUUCUCCUUGUCUUCAGGCCCGAAGUUUGGCUCAGAUUUGGAAACAAGACCAAAACAAUUCAUAUACAUUCGAAACUUAUGAAGAUAAAGCAUGGAAAGUAUAAGCUAUAUGUACAGAACAUCCAUUGGAGAACAUUUCCAUGCUUGUGAACAGAUGGAAUGUACAACACCUCAAGUGAGCUUCUUCUCUUCUUAAUUAAUCCAGAUCCAGGUUUGAAUCGUUGCUGAGUGCCCAGAUUUAAAUGAGUGCCCAGAUUUUUUGCUUAUGAUAGGUACUGGCUUUCUUUUGAAUAUUGUUGCAGAUAAAGUACUAAAAUCAAUGUAGCAUUAUCAAUUAGGUAUGGUUAGUAUCUAUAGCAGUAGCGGGUGAGAACUAAAUCCUGUUUACUCUACAAAGGUCUUUUAAUCAGUGAGUUAUAUCUUUCUGACAGAUAUACACAUGAUGCACCCGUUUUUGCUUAUGAUAGGUUCUCACUUGCUUUUUAAUAGUUGAUGUCAACCUCUUAAAUUAUGGAAGACUUUCUUCGUGGCUAUUAUUACAGCUGUUAGACUCAACCCUUUCCUGUCUUGAUAGCUCAAAAUAAUUUUUAUUUCCCAUCGUUAGCAUAUGCUCUCCUCUCCUAGGCAGUAGUUUUUCGCCAUGCCCUCAUGUAUAUUUGUGUUACAAAUUCAGCUCUGCCUUUGUGUGUUUCAGAGGGUGUUGCCACCGAAGUCAGGUGUUUGCCUUUUCUCCACCCUGUAAUUUUUUGUUUACAUAAAUGUUUGCAUGUUCUGUUUCUAAAGGGUAUUUUUCAUGUUUUGUGUUGGUUGGGUUCUUUUCAUUUUAUCCCUUCCAUACCACAUGGUGUUCUGCUAUUCAUUUGUUGUGGUUGGUUGCUUCACAGUGUCAUUUUCCCUCCUAUUCCUACCAAUGCCCAAGGUGGGUGGUGAUGUUUCUGUCCAUGGAGGCGUUGCUGAUCUCAAGUUACAAACAUAGAUAAACUUUUGACUCUAUUCAUGUGUCUGUAAUAUCCAUGAAAGUAUCCCUGCUCAUUGGUUUAUUUCCAGAUUGUUAGUUCUUCAUGUAUGUAUGGACAAUGUUGUCAGCAAUAUUGCAAAUAGUUUAGAUGAUAUCUCGAAUUAAGGUUCGCUUGAAAUUUUCAAUGUGCACCUCAUAUCUGUUCAUUUAUGGUGGGGUAUCUGUUCUUCUGCACAUAGACGAAUAGGAUCUAAUCAAAUGUUUAAUUGUUGGUAUUUAUUGGUGGACUAACGAAAGAGCUGAUUCAAGUUGUAGGCCUGUUGAAAGGAUGAAAGAAUUCAGGUUAGAGCCCUGUUGAAAGGAUGAAAGGAUGACAGGUUAUAGAGCUGUUGAAAGCAUGAAAGAAUUCGGGUUGAGGCCCUUUGAAAGGAUGAAAGUAUUCAGGUUGUAGCCCUAUUCUCUGCUUCGUGAACUGAUGAAAGGCUGCCCAGGCAUCACACCAUUCAAGUAGUGGCUCAAGUUGGCGAUUUAUAGAUCUAUAGCUAAGUUGCAUCAUGCGGUGAACAUGAAGAGUUAAGAAACUAUUGAAAUGACAUGGUUUGGUAGCGUGCUAUACCGAAUUGUCCCAUAGGCAGCCUAUGUAGAUGUUGCUUUUUGUUGUUCCUUUCUCACUUGUGUUGCUCUUGCUAGAACCAUCGAGCGUUUG